AUUGAACGCUGGCGGCAGGCCUAACACAUGCAAGUCGAGCGGCAGCGGGAAAGUAGCUUGCUACUUUUGCCGGCGAGCGGCGGACGGGUGAGUAAUGCCUGGGGAAUUGCCCAGUCGGGGGGGAUAACAGUUGGAAACGACUGCUAAUACCGCAUACGCCCUACGGGGGAAAGCAGGGGACCUUCGGGCCUUGCGCGAUUGGAUAUGCCCAGGUGGGAUUAGCUAGUUGGUGAGGUAAUGGCUCACCAAGGCGACGAUCCCUAGCUGGUCUGAGAGGAUGAUCAGCCACACUGGAACUGAGACACGGUCCAGACUCCGACGGGAGGCAGCAGUGGGGAAUAUUGCACAAUGGGGGAAACCCUGAUGCAGCCAUGCCGCGUGUGUGAAGAAGGCCUUCGGGUUGUAAAGCACUUUCAGCGAGGAGGAAAGGUUGAUGCCUAAUACGUAUCAACUGUGACGUUACUCGCAGAAGAAGCACCGGCUAACUCCGUGCCAGCCGCCGCCGUAACAC
rnacentral:rRNA from 1 species